ensembl:rRNA 5S_rRNA 5S ribosomal RNA
GUCUAUGGCCAUACCACCCUGAACACACCUGAUCCCGUCUGACCUGACCUCGUGAAGCUAAGCAGGGUCAGGCCUGGUUAGUAAUUGGAUGGGAGACCACCUGGGAAUGCUGGAUGCUGUAGGCU